UACAGAGGGUGCGAGCGUUGUUCGGAUUCACUGGGCGUAAAGGGUGCGUAGGUGGUGAGGUAAGUCGGAUGUGAAAUCUCCGAGCUCAACUCGGAAAUGGCAUUGGAAACUACCUUGCUUGAGGGUUGGAGGGGGGACUGGAAUACUUGGUGUAGCAGUGAAAUGCGUAGAUAUCAAGUGGAACACCAGUGGCGAAGGCGAGUCCCUGGACAACUCCUGACACUGAGGCACGAAAGCUAGGGGAGCAAACAGG
rnacentral:rRNA from 1 species